rnacentral:rRNA from 1 species
AGCAGCCGCGGUAAUUCCAGCUCCAAUAGCGUAUAUUAAAGUUGUUGCAGUUAAAAGCUCGUAGUUGAAUUUCGGGGUCAGUAGGUUGGUCGUGCCCCCGGUACGUACUGGUCUCACUGAUUCCUCCUUCCUGAAGAACCGUAAUGCCAUUAAUUUGGUGUUGCGGGGAAUCUGGACUGUUACUUUGAAAAAUUAGCGUGUUUAAAGCAGGCUAACGCUUGAAUACAUUAGCAUGGAAUAAUGAAAUAGGACGAUCGAUCCUAUUUUGUUGGUUUCUAGGAUCGACGUAAUGAUUAAUAGGGAUAGUUGGGGGCAUUAGUAUUCAAUUGUCAGAGGUGAAAUUCUUGGAUUUAUUGAAGACUAACUACUGCGAAAGCAAUUUGCCAAGGAUGUUUUCAUUAAUCAAGAACGAAAGUUAGGGGAUCGAAGACGAUCAGAUACCGUCGUAGUCUUAACCAUAAACUAUGCCGACUAGGGAUCGGAUGAUGUUAAUUUUUUAAUGACUCAUUCGGCGCCUUAC